UCAAGCAACGAAGUGCAUGUGGUGGAUGCCUUGGCGAUCACAGGCGAUGAAGGACGUGCAAGUCUGCGAAAAGCGUGGGGGAGUUGACAAUGGAACAUUGAUCCCACGAUGUCCGAAUGGGGAAACCCGGCCCUUCAUAGAGGGCUUUCGAUGCGCGUAGCGCAUCAAAAGCAAAAAAAGCGACAAUGGAACAUUCUGUGUCACGCGAGAAUGGAACUUGGCUUUCGAUGCGCGUAGCGCAUCAAAAGCAAAAAAAGCGACAAUGGAACAUUCUGUGUCACGCGAGAAUGGAACUUGGCUUUCGAUGCGCGUAGCGCAUCAAAAGCAAAAAGUGACAAUGGAACAUUCUGCGUCAAGUGACGAUGGAGUGAGAGAGUCUUCUAUGAAGGGUCAUCCCUGACUGAAUACAUAGGUCAGAGGAAGCGAACCCGGUGAACUGAAACAUCUAAGUAGCCGGAGGAAAAGAAAUCAACCGAGAUUCCCUGAGUAGUGGCGAGCGAAAGGGGAAGAGCCUGCAAGUGAUAGCGCAAACAUUAGGAGAGUGUUCUGGAAAGGACAGCCGUAGUGGGUGACAGCCCCGUAUCCGAAAAUGAUUGUGUGGUACUGAGCUUGCGAGAAGUAGGGCGGGACACGAGAAAUCCUGUCUGAAGAUGGGGGGACCAUCCUCCAAGGCUAAAUACUCGUGAUCGACCGAUAGUGAACUAGUACCGUGAGGGAAAGGCGAAAAGAACCCCGGGAGGGGAGUGAAAUAGAAUCUGAAACCGCAUGCAUACAAACAGUGGGAGCCCCUCCUCCAAGCGCCUUUGGCGCUUUGAGGAGGGGCAGGGAUCAGGGAUCAGGGAUCAGGAAUCAGUGAAGUUAUGCGGCGCGAAGCGCCGCCAAACUAAAGCUGAUGCCUGAUACCUGACUUCUGAUACCUGCUCUUCCAAAAACCAAGGGUUUUUGGAGGAGGGGUGACUGCGUACCUUUUGUAUAAUGGGUCAGCGACUUACGUUUUGUUGCGAGCUUAACCGAAUAGGGGAGGCGAAGCGAAAGCGAGUCUGAUAAGGGCGUUGAGUAGCAAGGCGUAGACCCGAAACCGGAUGAUCUAUCCAUGGCCAGGCUGAAGGUGCCGUAACAGGUACUGGAGGGCCGAACCCACUAAUGUUGAAAAAUUAGGGGAUGAGCUGUGGAUAGGGGUGAAAGGCUAAACAAAUCCGGAUAUAGCUGGUUCUCUCCGAAAGCUAUUUAGGUAGCGCGUCAUGUAUCACUUCCGGGGGUAAAGCACUGUUAUGGCUAGGGGGUCAUCGCGACUUACCAACCCAUGGCAAACUCUGAAUACCGGAAAGUGCGAGCAUGGCAGACAGACUGUGGGUGCUAACGUCCAUGGUCAAGAGGGAAACAACCCAGACCGCCAGCUAAGGUCCCAAAGACAUGGUUAAGUGGGAAACGAAGUGGGAAGGCCCAGACAGCUAGGAGGUUGGCUUAGAAGCAGCCAUCCUUUAAAGAAAGCGUAAUAGCUCACUAGUCGAGUCGGCCUGCGCGGAAGAUGUAACGGGGCUCAAACCAUGCACCGAAGCUGCGGAUUCAGGGAUCAGAUGUCAGGGAUCAGGUAUCGGAUGCCAGGGAUCAGGGAUCAAAACCUGAUGCCGGAAAUCAGGAGCAAGAAGUGAAUAUCAAGCGAUUUGAAGACCUGGAAGUGUUUCAGCGAGCCUAUAAGGUAUCGUUGGCGCUCCACAAGGUGACGCUAAAGAUGCCGCAGAUAGAGCAAUAUGGACUUGCCGAUCAAAUUCGGCGGGCGAGUAAGUCUGUCUGUGCGAAUCUUGCCGAAGGCUUUGGCAAACAAAGUCAAUCGAAGGCGGAGUUCAAACGUUACCUCCUGAUGGCAAUGGGAUCAGCCGACGAAAUGCGCGUCUGGCUGAGAUACUGUCUCGAUCUUGGAUACAUCGAAUCAGAGCAAUGGACAAUUUGGCGAAGCGAAUACGAGCAAAUCGCCAAAAUGCUACAGGGAUUACAGAAAGCGCUGAACCCGCGAAGCGGGGAAGGUGUUGAUCCCUGAUACCUGACCUCUGAUCCCUGAAUGGUAGGAGAGCGUUCUGUAGGCCGAUGAAGGUGGAUUGUCAAGUCUGCUGGAGGUAUCAGAAGUGCGAAUGCUGACAUGAGUAGCGAUAAAGCGGGUGAAAAGCCCGCUCGCCGAAAGCCCAAGGUUUCCUGCGCAACGUUCAUCGGCGCAGGGUGAGUCGGCCCCUAAGGCGAGGCAGAAAUGCGUAGUCGAUGGGAAACAGGUUAAUAUUCCUGUACUCGAAAUAAGUGCGAUGUGGGGACGGAGAAAGUUAGGUCAGCCGCCUGUUGGAAUAGGUGGUUUAAGCGUGUAGGCGUGCCCGAUAGGCAAAUCCGUCGGGCUAAGCUGAGGCGUGAUGACGAGGCGCUACGGCGCUGAAGUGACUGAUACUCAGCUUCCAGGAAAAGCCACUAAGCUUCAGCUUAUUUUGAACCGUACCGCAAACCGACACAGGUGGGCAGGAUGAGAAUUCCAAGGCGCUUGAGAGAACUCAGGAGAAGGAACUCGGCAAAUUAACACCGUAACUUCGGGAGAAGGUGUGCCCCGGUAGGUUGAAGUCCCUUGCGGAUGGAGGCCGAUGGGGUUGCAGUGAACUGGUGGCUGCGACUGUUUAUUAAAAACACAGCACUCUGCAAACACGAAAGUGGACGUAUAGGGUGUGACGCCUGCCCGGUGCCGGAAGGUUAAGUGAUGAGGUGAGAGCUUCUGAUCGAAGCCCCGGUAAACGGCGGCCGUAACUAUAACGGUCCUAAGGUAGCGAAAUUCCUUGUCGGGUAAGUUCCGACCUGCACGAAUGGCGUAACGAUGGCCACACUGUCUCCUCCUGAGACUCAGCGAAGUUGAAAUGUUUGUGAAGAUGCAAUGUCCCCGCGGCAAGACGGAAAGACCCCGUGAACCUUUACUGUAGCUUUGCAUUGGACUUUGAACCGAUCUGUGUAGGAUAGGUGGGAGGCUUUGAAGCGGGAACGCCAGUUCUCGUGGAGCCGACGUUGAAAUACCACCCUGGUUUGUUUGAGGUUCUAACCAUAACCUGUGAAUCCAGGUUUGGGACCGUGCAUGGUGGGCAGUUUGACUGGGGCGGUCUCCUCCCAAAAGGUAACGGAGGAGUACGAAGGUACGCUAGGCUCGGUCGGACAUCGAGCUAUUAGUGCAAUGGCAUAAGCGUGCUUGACUGCGAGACAGACAAGUCGAGCAGGUACGAAAGUAGGUCAUAGUGAUCCGGUGGUUCUGAAUGGAAGGGCCAUCGCUCAACGGAUAAAAGGUACUCUGGGGAUAACAGGCUGAUACCGCCCAAGAGUUCAUAUCGACGGCGGUGUUUGGCACCUCGAUGUCGGCUCAUCACAUCCUGGGGCUGUAGCCGGUCCCAAGGGUAUGGCUGUUCGCCAUUUAAAGUGGUACGCGAGCUGGGUUUAGAACGUCGUGAGACAGUUCGGUCCCUAUCUGCCGUGGGCGCUGGAGAACUGAGGGGGGCUGCUCCUAGUACGAGAGGACCGGAGUGGACGAACCUCUGGUGUACCGGUUGUGACGCCAGUCGCAUUGCCGGGUAGCUAAGUUCGGAAGAGAUAACCGCUGAAAGCAUCUAAGCGGGAAACUCGCCUCAAGAUGAGAUCUCCCUGGAGUCUGGCUCUAUGCUUCUUUGGAGGUGGUGAAGAGGUUUGACGCGCGCGAAGCGCGCGGCAAAGCAUUCUUUGACCGCCUCAAGAGAAGGGGGCAUAGAGCCAGACUCCCUGUAGGGUCGUUGAAGACCACAACGUUGAUAGGUCGGGUGUGGAAGCGCAGUAAUGCGUUAAGCUAACCGAUACUAAUUGCCCGUGCGGCUUGAUCC
rnacentral:rRNA from 1 species